CCAAAUGGUUACAACCUGGAUCAGUUGCACUUCACAAAGCUGAGAAAAUACUGCUCAACAAGAGAGUCCUGAAGGAUGUAGAGAAACUCAGCCACCAUCACCAGACCUCAUCACUAGAGUCCUUCCACAGCCGUAGCACGUUUUGCACCAAAGAAUGUAGUUUUCCCCUUCAUGGGAAUGUUGUGCAGGUUGUAUCUAGCAGCAAUGCACCACAAUGAAAAUGCUAUGCGGGAGCAAGCCACAACAUCUACAGGACAGGCCGUUUUCAAGGUUGUUUUUCCAAAGGCGAAGAGGGGGGGAAGGCAUUGU